AUUCCAUGAUGAAGGCAGUUCCUUAAUAAUUCUUUGUACCUUUCCUAUGCCCAUACAAGGACUCAUCAUCCAUUUGUUGGAAAGUAAUGAUCUCAUUCCUCAACUU
rfam:Gossypium arboreum cultivar AKA8401 contig_10644_1, whole genome shotgun sequence.